AAGAGAUUUACAUGCGUAACUCC
rnacentral:miRNA from 1 species